UACAGAGGGUGCGAGCGUUAAUCGGAAUUACUGGGCGUGAAGCGUGCGUAGACGGUAGCGUAAGUCAGGUGUGAAAGCCCCGGGCUCAACCUGGGAAUUGCAUUUGAGACUGCUCUGCUCGGGUGCGGAAGAGGGAAGCGGAAUUUCCGGUGUAGCGGUGAAAUGCGUAGAUAUCGGAAGGAACACCAGUGGCGAAAGCGGCUUCCUGGUCCGACACCGACGUUCAGGCACGAAAGCGUGGGGAGCAAACAGG
rnacentral:rRNA from 1 species